AGAGUUUGAUCCUGGCUCAGGACGAACGCUGGCGGCGCGCCUAACACAUGCAAGUCGAACGGAGCUUAGAGAGCUUGCUUUUUAAGCUUAGUGGCGAACGGGUGAGUAACGCGUGAGUAACCUGCCCUGGAGUGGGGGACAACAGUUGGAAACGACUGCUAAUACCGCAUAAGCCCACGGCCCGGCAUCGGGCUGCGGGAAAAGGAUUUAUUCGCUUCAGGAUGGACUCGCGUCCAAUUAGCUAGUUGGUGAGGUAACGGCCCACCAAGGCGACGAUUGGUAGCCGGACUGAGAGGUUGAACGGCCACAUUGGGACUGAGACACGGCCCAGACUCCUACGGGAGGCAGCAGUGGGGGAUAUUGCACAAUGGGGGAAACCCUGAUGCAGCGACGCCGCGUGGAGGAAGAAGGUCUUCGGAUUGUAAACUCCUGUCCCAGGGGACGAUAAUGACGGUACCCUGGGAGGAAGCACCGGCUAACUACGUGCCAGCAGCCGCGGUAAAACGUAGGGUGCAAGCGUUGUCCGGAAUUACUGGGUGUAAAGGGAGCGCAGGCGGGAAGACAAGUUGGAAGUGAAAUCCAUGGGCUCAACCCAUGAACUGCUUUCAAAACUGUUUUUCUUGAGUAGUGCAGAGGUAGGCGGAAUUCCCGGUGUAGCGGUGGAAUGCGUAGAUAUCGGGAGGAACACCAGUGGCGAAGGCGGUCUACUGGGCACCAACUGACGCUGAGGCUCGAAAGCAUGGGUAGCAAACAGGAUUAGAUACCCUGGUAGUCCAUGCCGUAAACGAUGAUUACUAGGUGUUGGAGGAUUGACCCCUUCAGUGCCGCAGUUAACACAAUAAGUAAUCCACCUGGGGAGUACGACCGCAAGGUUGAAACUCAAAGGAAUUGACGGGGGCCCGCACAAGCAGUGGAGUAUGUGGUUUAAUUCGAAGCAACGCGAAGAACCUUACCAGGUCUUGACAUCCGAUGCAUAGCACAGAGAUGUGUGAAAUCCUUCGGGACAUCGAGACAGGUGGUGCAUGGUUGUCGUCAGCUCGUGUCGUGAGAUGUUGGGUUAAGU
rnacentral:rRNA from 1 species